GGACUACAAGGGUAUCUAAUCCCGUUUGCUCCCCUGGCUUUCGUGUCUCAGUGUCGGCACAUCCCCAGCGAGCUGUUUUCACCAUUGGCGUUCCAAAUGAUAUCUACGCAUUUCACCGCUCCACCAUUUGUUCCGCUCGCCCCUAGAUGGCCCAAGACCAGCAGUAUACCGAGCAGUUCCACGGUUGAGCCGUGGGAUUUCACAAGGUACUUACCAGUCCACCUACACACGCUUUAAGCCCAGUGAUUCCGCCUAACGCUUGGCACCUCUGUCUUACCGCGGCUGCUGGCAC
rnacentral:rRNA from 1 species